AUGAAUGGGCGGGCCUUGAUCCCACGAAAAAUU
rnacentral:tRNA from 1 species